rnacentral:lncRNA from 1 species
CAACACAAGAACCACAUGGAUGUCUACUCACUCAUCAGUGAUUUUCUCGAUGCUGCAGUGGUGUGAGUAGUCCUUUGACCUAUGGUGUCAUUGGCUAUUCACAGUGAGGCUACUGGGUUUGACUCUAUAUUUUCUUGAUCUCUAGUCAUUCGAAUUCUUACUGUGUAUAUUGGCUUCAGUAGAUUCAGAUUCGUUGUUUGAAGUAGGAUGCACCUAGAUGGAAUCUAUCGAUCUUGAUAGGAAAGGAGAAGUUCUAUACAAUUUGUGAGACUGAGUUCAGAAAGUCUUUGACUAAAGUAAGUGUGAAUACUGAAAAAAAAAAUUAUAAGAUUUACAAAUGAAUUCGAGUCGAGCCAAUCUAGCAUAUGACUGACAAUGGGGUCUGAUGAGUUCUUCAUGACCUUCGUCAAGUCAGAACUCACGAUAGAAAGACUGAAUCAUAC